rnacentral:rRNA from 1 species
AACGAACGCUGGCGGCAUGCCUAACACAUGCAAGUCGAACGAGACCUUCGGGUCUAGUGGCGCACGGGUGCGUAACGCGUGGGAACCUGCCCUUAGGUUCGGAAUAACUCCCCGACAGGGGUGCUAAUACCGGAUAAUGUCUUCGGACCAAAGAUUUAUCGCCUUUGGAUGGGCCCGCGUUGGAUUAGCUAGUUGGUAGGGUAAAAGCCUACCAAGGCGACGAUCCAUAGCUGGUCUGUGAGGAUGAUCAGCCACACUUGGACUGAGACACGGCCCGGACUCCUACGGGAGGCAGCAGUGGGGGAUAUUGGACAGUGGGCGAAAGCCUGAUCCAGCAAUGCCGCGUGAGUGAUGAAGGCCUUAGGGUUGUAAAGCUCUUUUACCCGGGAUGAUAAUGACAGUACCGGGAGAAUAAGCUCCGGCUAACUCCGUG